rnacentral:lncRNA from 1 species
GGAGACUCUUCCCUGGGAGUUGUGUGGAGACACUUUCUAACGUACUUUUGUUUUACCUUUUAGUUUCUUUUCAUUCAGAAGAAAUAAAAGAACAAAACGAGACAUUAAUAAAAGAGAAUGAAGAAAUAAAAGAACAAAAAGAGAAAUUAAUAAAAGAGAAUGGUGAGUGA